UUGGUUUUGACCCGUUCUCUUCCUUUCCUUGGCGGCAGGUGCGGCAGAGCCACCCACAACCAUGGGCGGGGGAGACUGCUCGCAGAUGCGGCGGCGCUCCCAUUUAGGCGCGGCGGCGAGAAGAAUCAAGAAGCAGAUCCCUGUCCACCGCUUGGAGUCGCGCGUCACCACCUGGAUUCGCUCUCUGCUGCCUGGAGUCGCCUCCCGUCGCUGGCAGAGAAACUCUCUCCAACCUUCUCAAUGUUUGCAGUCUGCACUCCUCUCAUCCUCCAGUCCUCGACCUGUGCUUGUUGCUGGUGCCUUGCUGCUGCCUGUCACGGAAUCGUUUGAUUUAUUUGGGACCGAAUCUUGAAGGAUUCUAGGAUUUGUGGUGCAUAUGCGGAUGGCGGGGCACCGGCGCAGCAGAGAGGAGGCUUGACGAGCCCAAGCUUCUCGACGGUGUCUCCCGCGCGGCCACGCUCCCCAAGAUUGCUAAGUAUGGUGCUCACACCACCUCUUCACACUGCCUUUUCUCCAUUGAUGCCGUCUUUUCAUCCUUUCCUUGCAAGUUGGAGCAGCAAGCUUAGUUCUUGGGGAGGACUACCGGAUUUUGGCAACGGUGGCGUCGGAUUUUCUCAUCGGUCGUCUUUCCCCUUUGUUGGCCCACCGGCUGUCACCUAUGCAAGGUUUUCCGCCGCUAACGUCAAACACCAAUCUCGAUGCCAACCCGCCGCGCGCUGAGUUCCCCAAAAAACCGCCUGAGGAUCUUUAUGGUGCCGGCAUCUCUCUCUUUCUUUGAUUCAUUUGGCCUUCUCCUUCUUCCCUCCUGCCAAGUCCAGUCAAAUACGACCUUGAUUUUCCUGAAACGAGUCCCUCUAUCCAGAAAUCCUCCGUCAAUUUCUCCCCUCCUUCCUCAAAUUCCAUCUACUUCUUAAAGGCAUGUGGUGGCUGAGGAGGCAUGGAAAAUCUGUACAUGAAAGGAUGGCCUGAUAUUUGGGGGGCAUACUACCAGUAAUCGAAAGAGCAAAGUAUGGAAAAUCUAAAAGUUUGUUGCCUUUUUGUGUUCCUUCUGCCGUUGUUCAAGAAAAUCGUUGCAUCGUCAAGUUAUGGAGAUCUACGACAAUGAUAAAAUGCCCUUCAAGUGAGAUGCAUUAGAUAUACAUAAACUUAGUUCUCAUAUUUGAUGUGCCCCAUUCCACUAUAGAAUCCCUUGUACUUGGUGCAGGUGGUUUUGCUUUGAAGGAAAGGAUUAUGCAUUAUUCCGUGGAUUCAAAGGAAAUAGAGUGAUUGUCAGUAGACAUGGUGUUUUGGUUCA